CCUACGGGAGGCUGCAGUGGGGAAUAUUGGGCAAUGGGCGAAAGCCUGAUCCAGCCAUGCCGCGUGUGUGAAGAAGGCCUUCGGGUUGUAAAGCACUUUCAGUGGGGAAGAAAGCCUUGGGGCUAAUACCCUCGAGGAAGGACAUCACCCACAGAAGAAGCACCGGCUAACUCCGUGCCAGCAGCCGCGGUAAUACGGAGGGUGCGAGCGUUAAUCGGAAUUACUGGGCGUAAAGCGCGCGUAGGCGGUCUGAUAAGCCGGUUGUGAAAGCCCCGGGCUCAACCUGGGAACGGCAUCCGGAACUGUCAGGCUAGAGUGCAGGAGAGGAAGGUAGAAUUCCCGGUGUAGCGGUGAAAUGCGUAGAGAUCGGGAGGAAUACCAGUGGCGAAGGCGGCCUUCUGGACUGACACUGACGCUGAGGUGCGAAAGCGUGGGUAGCAAACAGGAUUAGAUACCCGAGUAGUC
rnacentral:rRNA from 1 species